UACAGAGGGGGCAAGCGUUGUUCGGAAUUACUGGGCGUAAAGGGCGCGUAGGCGGCCUGCUAAGUCGAACGUGAAAUCCCUGGGCUCAACCCAGGAACUGCGUCCGAUACUGGAUGGCUUGAAUUCGGGAGAGGGAUGCAGAAUUCCGAGGUGUAGCGGUGAAAUGCGUAGAUAUCUGGAGGAAUACCGGUGGCGAAGGCGGCAUCCUGGACCGACAUUGACGCUGAGGAGCGAAAGCUAGGGGAGCAAACGGG
rnacentral:rRNA from 1 species